rnacentral:rRNA from 1 species
UACGUAGGGGGCGAGCGUUGUCCGGAUUUAUUGGGCGUAAAGGGCGUGUAGGCGGCCUGGUAAGUCGGGGGUGGAAACUCAGGGCUCAACCCUGAGACUGCCUUCGAUACUGCUGGGCUUGAGUGCUCUAGAGGGUAGUGGAAUUGCCGGUGUAGCAGUGAAAUGCGUAGAGAUCGGCAGGAACACCAGUGGCGAAGGCGACUGCCUGGGGAGUAACUGACGCUGAGGCGCGAAAGCUGGGGGAGCAAACGGG